AUGCAUCAUAAGUAUUUGUUCUUUUGGAACUGUAAUUUGAGUGCGGUGCUUAUGGUUAUGUCCACCAGCUUUAGCAUUCUUUUCAGAUGUGGUUUUGAAUUGGUUAUUUCUGAGGUCACCUACUUUCAAAUUGAGCAAAAUCAGUCCAAAAGAAUGGACUUUGUAAUGUUGCUGUCUGAAAAAUUAAAAGCAGUACAUCUGUUACAGUGGCAAGUAGUACAAACAUGA